UACGUAGGGUGCAAGCGUUGUCCGGAAUUAUUGGGCGUAAAGAGCUCGUAGGCGGUUCGUCGCGUCGGCUGUGAAAUCCCGAGGCUCAACCUCGGGUCUGCAGUCGAUACGGGCGGACUGGAGUUCGGCAGGGGAGACUGGAAUUCCUGGUGUAGCGGUGGAAUGCGCAGAUAUCAGGAGGAACACCGAUGGCGAAGGCAGGUCUCUGGGCCACUACUGACGCUGAGAAGCGAAAGCAUGGGGAGCGAACAGG
rnacentral:rRNA from 1 species